rnacentral:rRNA from 1 species
AACGUAGGAGCCAAGCGUUAUCCGAAUUCACUGGGCGUAAAGCGCGUGCAGGCGGUCUGGUAAGUUGGAUGUGAAAUCUCCUGGCUCAACUGGGAGGGGUCGUUCAAUACUGUCAGACUAGAGGAUAGCAGAGGGAGGUGGAAUUCCCGGUGUAGUGGUGAAAUGCGUAGAUAUCGGGAGGAACACCAGUGGCGAAAGCGGCCUCCUGGGCUAUUCCUGACGCUCAGAUGCGAAAGCUAGGGGAG